rnacentral:lncRNA from 1 species
GCGAUGUCAACUUUGACCUAGAGGGUCAAAGUGAGGAUUGAGCUAGUUGGACAUCAUCCUCGAGUGAUUUGUGAUGCGUUGGAAUGAAUUUCGGAGAUAAAUAAGUGUUUCGGCGCAAAUUGGGCGCGAAACGAAAUGUAAAAAGAAUUUUCGGAUUUCCGAUGCUAACUUUGAUUAAAAGAAUUAAAGUAAGGCGUAAGGAUAAAUUGUGGAAUCUCCGAAUCAAUUGAGAAGUUUCGGAAAAGCCAAGGGUGUGUUUUCAAAGGGUUUUGAAGUGUUCAGUGCGAAGUGGUAGUGCAAAAAGGAGAAAUUUCUGCCGUGUAAUGAAAUUGGAGCCGAUUCUAUUGCUAAUUCG